rnacentral:rRNA from 1 species
UACGGGGGGGGCAAGCGUUGUUCGGAAUUACUGGGCGUAAAGGGCUCGUAGGCGGCCAACUAAGUCAGACGUGAAAUCCCUCGGCUCAACCUGGGAACUGCGUCCGAUACUGGAUGGCUUGAAUCCGGGAGAGGGAUGCAGAAUUCCAGGUGUAGCGGUGAAAUGCGUAGAUAUCUGGAGGAAUACCGGUGGCGAAGGCGGCAUCCUGGACCGGCAUUGACGCUGAGGAGCGAAAGCCAGGGGAGCAAACGGG